rnacentral:rRNA from 1 species
AUUGAACGCUGGCGGCAGGCCUAACACAUGCAAGUCGAGCGGAUGAAGGGAGCUUGCUCCUGGAUUCAGCGGCGGACGGGUGAGUAAUGCCUAGGAAUCUGCCUGGUAGUGGGGGAUAACGUCCGGAAACGGGCGCUAAUACCGCAUACGUCCUGAGGGAGAAAGUGGGGGAUCUUCGGACCUCACGCUAUCAGAUGAGCCUAGGUCGGAUUAGCUAGUUGGUGGGGUAAAGGCCUACCAAGGCGACGAUCCGUAACUGGUCUGAGAGGAUGAUCAGUCACACUGGAACUGAGACACGGUCCAGACUCCUACGGGAGGCAGCAGUGGGGAAUAUUGGACAAUGGGCGAAAGCCUGAUCCAGCCAUGCCGCGUGUGUGAAGAAGGUCUUCGGAUUGUAAAGCACUUUAAGUUGGGAGGAAGGUCAGUAAGUUAAUACCUUGCUGUUUUGACGUUACCAAAAGAAUAAGCACCGGCUAACUUCGUG